UACGUAGGGUGCGAGCGUUGUCCGGAAUUAUUGGGCGUAAAGAGCUCGUAGGCGGUGUGUCACGUCGGCCGUGAAAACCUGCAGCUUAACUGUGGGCGUGCGGUCGAUACGGGCAUCACUGGAGUUCGGCAGGGGAGACUGGAAUUCCUGGUGUAGCGGUGAAAUGCGCAGAUAUCAGGAAGAACACCCGUGGCGAAGGCGGCUCUCUGGGACGGUACUGACGCUGAGACGCGAAAGCGUGGGGAGCGAACGGG
rnacentral:rRNA from 1 species